UCUGGAUGAUUAAUAGAUGUGCCCAGG
rnacentral:piRNA from 1 species